rnacentral:rRNA from 1 species
AGAGUUUGAUCCUGGCUCAGAUUGAACGCUGGCGGCAGGCCUAACACAUGCAAGUCGAGCGGAUGAAGGGAGCUUGCUCCCUGAUUUAGCGGCGGACGGGUGAGUAAUGCCUAGGAAUCUGCCUGGUAGUGGGGGAUAACGUUCCGAAAGGAACGCUAAUACCGCAUACGUCCUACGGGAGAAAGCAGGGGACCCUCGGGCCUUGCGCUAUCAGAUGAGCCUAGGUCGGAUUAGCUAGUUGGUGAGGUAAUGGCUCACCAAGGCGACGAUCCGUAACUGGUCUGAGAGGAUGAUCAGUCACACUGGAACUGAGACACGGUCCAGACUCCUACGGGAGGCAGCAGUGGGGAAUAUUGGACAAUGGGCGAAAGCCUGAUCCAGCCAUGCCGCGUGUGUGAAGAAG